rnacentral:rRNA from 1 species
GGGUUGUGAGGUUAAGCGACUAAGCGUACACGGUGGAUGCCCUGGCAGUCAGAGGCGAUGAAGGACGUGCUAAUCUGCGAUAAGCGUCGGUAAGGUGAUAUGAACCGUUAUAACCGGCGAUUUCCGAAUGGGGAAACCCAGUGUGAUUCGUCACACUAUCAUUAACUGAAUCCAUAGGUUAAUGAGGCGAACCGGGGGAACUGAAACAUCUAAGUACCCCGAGGAAAAGAAAUCAACCGAGAUUCCCCCAGUAGCGGCGAGCGAACGGGGAGCAGCCCAGAGCCUGAAUCAGUGUGUGUGUUAGUGGAAGCGUCUGGAAAGGCGUGCGAUACAGGGUGACAGCCCCGUACACAAAAAUGCACAUGCUGUGAGCUCGAUGAGUAGGGCGGGACACGUGGUAUCCUGUCUGAAUAUGGGGGGACCAUCCUCCAAGGCUAAAUACUCCUGACUGACCGAUAGUGAACCAGUACCGUGAGGGAAAGGCGAAAAGAACCCCGGCGAGGGGAGUGAAAAAGAACCUGAAACCGUGUACGUACAAGCAGUGGGAGCACAGAGCAAUCUGUGUGACUGCGUACCUUUUGUAUAAUGGGUCAGCGACUUAUAUUCUGUAGCAAGGUUAACCGAAUAGGGGAGCCGAAGGGAAACCGAGUCUUAACUGGGCGUUAAGUUGCAGGGUAUAGACCCGAAACCCGGUGAUCUAGCCAUGGGCAGGUUGAAGGUUGGGUAACACUAACUGGAGGACCGAACCGACUAAUGUUGAAAAAUUAGCGGAUGACUUGUGGCUGGGGGUGAAAGGCCAAUCAAACCGGGAGAUAGCUGGUUCUCCCCGAAAGCUAUUUAGGUAGCGCCUCGUGAAUUCAUCUCCGGGGGUAGAGCACUGUUUCGGCAAGGGGGUCAUCCCGACUUACCAACCCGAUGCAAACUGCGAAUACCGGAGAAUGUUAUCACGGGAGACACACGGCGGGUGCUAACGUCCGUCGUGAAGAGGGAAACAACCCAGACCGCCAGCUAAGGUCCCAAAGUCAUGGUUAAGUGGGAAACGAUGUGGGAAGGCCCAGACAGCCAGGAUGUUGGCUUAGAAGCAGCCAUCAUUUAAAGAAAGCGUAAUAGCUCACUGGUCGAGUCGGCCUGCGCGGAAGAUGUAACGGGGCUAAACCAUGCACCGAAGCUGCGGCAGCGA